rnacentral:misc_RNA from 1 species
GGAUCGUGAGGGAUGAGCGAUAGAAUCCUUUGUAGGUCAGAUAUAUUCAUGCUUGGCAGAGAAAGUAUUGCCGAGUAGGCUUCCAUUUGCCAUAAGCUUUGUGAUUGCGCGAUAAACGACUGGAUGUUCGUGCGUUUGACAAGAACCAAGCGAUGGAGGGCCGGGUGGCUGCUCGCCUUGGCCUAUGUGCUUUGCGUGCUGGCGCCGGGUGUUUCCUUCGCGUUUACCGGGGGCGGUCAUACGCACGAUCAUUCCGGCAUCCACGCGCAUUUCGGCCAAUCCGACAGCUGUAGUGACAUAGAAACUGUGGGUGCCGAAACGCCGGUCCCCGCG